UUCCGGUUGAUCCCGCCGGACCUGACUGCUAUCGGAUUGAUACUAAGCCAUGCGAGUCUUUGCAGUAAUGCAAGGCAUACGGCUCAGUAACACGUAGUCAACUUACCCUAUGGACGAGGAUAAUCUCGGGAAACUGAGCAUAAUACUCGAUAGAUCAUAAUGCCUGGAAUGGUUUAUGGUUGAAAUGAUUCGUCGCCAUAGGAUGGGACUGCGGCCUAUCAGCUUGUUGGUGAGGUAAUGGCCCACCAAGGCGAUUACAGGUACGGGCUCUGAGAGGAGAAGCCCGGAGAUGGGUACUGAGACAAGGACCCAGGCCCUAUGGGGCGCAGCAGGCGAGAAAACUUUGCAAUGUGCGAAAGCACGACAAGGUUAAUCCGAGUGAUUUCUGCUAAAGAAAUCUUUUGCAAGUCAUAAAACCACUAGUGAAUAAGGGGUGGGCAAGUUCUGGUGUCAGCCGCCGCGGUAAAACCAGCACCUCAAGUGGUCAGGAGGAUUAUUGGGCCUAAAGCAUCCGUAGCCGGCUCUGUAAGUUUUCGGUUAAAUCCAUGUGCUCAACGCAUGGGCUGCCGAAAAUACUGCAUAGCUAGGGAGUGGGAGAGGUAGACGGUACUCAGUAGGAAGGGGUAAAAUCCUUUGAUCUAUUGAUGACCACCUGUGGCGAAGGCGGUCUACCAGAACACGUUCGACGGUGAGGGAUGAAAGCUGGGGGAGCAAACCGGAUUAGAUACCCGGGUAGUCCCAGCUGUAAACGAUGCAGACUCGAUGAUGCAUUGGCAUAUAGCCAGUGCAGUGUCGCAGGGAAGCCGUUAAGUCUGCCGCCUGGGAAGUACGUACGCAAGUAUGAAACUUAAAGGAAUUGGCGGGGGAGCACCACAAGGGGUGAAGCCUGCGGUUCAAUUGGAAUCAACGCCGGA
rnacentral:rRNA from 1 species